rnacentral:rRNA from 1 species
AGUGAACGCUGGCGGUAGGCCUAACACAUGCAAGUCAAACGGCAGCACAGUAAGAGCUUGCUCUUACGGGUGGCGAGUGGCGGACGGGUGAGGAAUACAUCGGAAUCUACUUUUUCGUGGGGGAUAACGUAGGGAAACUUACGCUAAUACCGCAUACGACCUACGGGUGAAAGCAGGGGAUCUUCGGACCUUGCGCGAUUGAAUGAGCCGAUGUCGGAUUAGCUAGUUGGCGGGGUAAAGGCCCACCAAGGCGACGAUCCGUAGCUGGUCUGAGAGGAUGAUCAGCCACACUGGAACUGAGACACGGUCCAGACCCCUACGGGAGGCAGCAGUGGGGAAUAUUGGACAAUGGGCGCAAGCCUGAUCCAGCCAUACCGCGUGGGUGAAGAAGGCCUUCGGGUUGUAAAGCCCUUUUGUUGGGAAAGAAAAGCAGCAGGUUAAUACCCCGCUGUUCUGACGGUACCCAAAGAAUAAGCACCGGCUAACUUCGUG